UGCGUAGGCGGGUUUCUAAGUCAGAGGUGAAAGCCUGGAGCUUAACUUGGGAAUUGCAUUCGAUACUGGGAAGCUAGAGUAUGGGAGAGGAUGGUAGAAUUCCAGGUGUAGCGGUGAAAUGCGUAGAGAUCUGGAGGAAUACCGAUGGCGAAGGCAGCCAUCUGGCCUAAUACUGACGCUGAGGUACGAAAGCGAUGGGGAGCAAACA
rnacentral:rRNA from 1 species